rnacentral:rRNA from 1 species
GAUGAACGCUGGCGGCGUGCCUAAUACAUGCAAGUCGAGCGAACGAACGAGAAGCUUGCUUCUCUGAUGUUAGCGGCGAACGGGUGAGUAACACGUGGAUAACCUACCUCUAAGACUGGGAUAACUUCGGGAAACCGGAGCUAAUACCGGAUAAUAUUUUGAACCGCAUGGUUCAAAAGUGAAAGACGGUCUUGCUGUCACUUGUAGAUGGAUCCGCGCUGCAUUAGCUAGUUGGUAAGGUAACGGCUUACCAAGGCAACGAUGAAUAGCCGACCUGAGAGGGUGAUCGGCCACACUGGAACUGAGACACGGUCCAACCUCCUACGGGAGGCAGCAGUAGGGAAUCUUCCGCAAUGGGCGAAAGCCUGACGGAGCAACGCCGCGUGAGUGAUGAAGGUCUUCGGAUCGUAAAACUCUGUUAUUAGGGAAGAACAUAUGUGUAAGUAACUGUGCACAUCUUGACGGUACCUAAUCAGAAAGCCACGGCUAACUACGUG